ensembl:lncRNA
UGGGUGUAUCCCCCCUUCCCUGACAUCAAGAGGGGGGGAAAUAGAUUCCAGUUUGAAAAUGGGUUUUGGCCAAAGUCACUGUGCCACUCAAAGCAAGCGCCACUUGUGUCAUUUUUCCACUGGGUUUCCAUGUUGUUUUUUGACAGGUCAUUCCAGCCAUGCGUCAAAAAAUAGGGGGACAAUGCGUUUUCCCCCUCCUCUGUCCUUCCUUUCCAUCUACGAUCGGUGGCAUUUAAGAGAAACUCAUGGUGAUUGAUGCGCCUGGCUUAAUGUCUUCUAAAACCUAUUUUGGCAAACUGCUAAAAUUAAAAGGCCUUCAAUUAUUUUUCCUUAAUGACUGAUUGCACUGUUGCCUAUUUUUGCUGCAAUUUAUCUAUCACUUCAUUUGUAAUUGAUGGUCAGUGUUUGGCUCAGUCUUUAUCACUGAUGGCUACUGGACGAUAAGCAAAUACACAGUGAUCAGGAUGGAUACACAUCGUUUUCUCUUCCCUAAGUCCAAAAAGCUUAUUUGGCUUUGAUUGUCUGAAGCGCAACCUAAGUGCUAUUAAGUUCCAAGGAUAAACAACAACACAAAUUAAACACUUCAACAUAUUUUCUGCUUGUUAAAACCAUGUUCAAUUUCCUUUUCUUUAUAGCGGUAUUUCUGGCCGGACAUCUCUUGGACAUGGAUUACAAAGGAGGAGCGACGCAGCCAGUCAAUCGGCCUCCUGCCUUCCCUCCUGAAUGAAUUUACUUCAAUUAGAGGCUGCAAUCGAUCACAAGAGGCCAAAGCGCGUCGGCUUUUACGAACAUUUAUUGUUACACAGUGUAAUGACCAUGCACGCUGUGACGCAGGUUAAUGACACCAUAGAUUAAAUCCAGUGUGUAGCUGUUGGGACAGUCCAAAACUAUUCCCAAGGUAUUGAUUUCAAGGCUUCCUGCAAAAUUGAACUGUCAGGUGUUCCACAGGGCCCUGAUAUGAUAUCGACCCUUCCUCCUUAGCGACCAACAAAGAGUCUGGUUACCUGAAACAGCCCAGUCAAGGGGAACUACUCGGGAUCACCCCACACCCAGUGAUACUGCUUGUUGGAAUUUUAAAUAGAAAUAUGAUAAACUCCUGCCCUCUGUGGCACAAGACUGUUGUCGUGCUGCCUUAAGGAGUUUUCUCUCUGUCUCUCGGUGUUGUGUUGUGCAUUGAGUGUCACAGUUAACACACGUAAAGGGACAAUUUACAUUGAAGACUAUUAAUCCCUUAAAUUCUUCCCAGGAAAAUACUCUUUUCUCUUUGGCCGGUUCUUCAGACUAGGACACUAUUACCCAGCUAUGACAUAAAAUAAAAAAUGUAGUUCCAAAACCACUUUGUGGGAUUAGGUAUCACAUAAUGCAUGACAACACGUUAAUGGAAUAGUCAUAGCGUCAAAAGAAUAAUGAGUGUUAAUAAAUGAGAACCUAGAAAGGGCAUAAAUGCAUGCUGGAAAUAAAUCAGGAUACAAAGCAACUAAAGAAUAAAUGUUAUGACAAAUAUAACUAAUGCUGUAAACCAGUGGCCCAUUUGGUAGUAGGCCAAAAACAAAUGAAUAAAUACCUUUUUUUUUUUUCAAUUGUUUUCUUUUUCUGAAAUGUUUUAUUUAGAAAAAUGACCGGAUUCUUUCCCAAUUACAUGGCUUGUCUCUCUUGAAACAUUUCAAGACGCUUGUCUCCGUCACGUGAUAAUUACCCCAAAACCUAAGUCAACAAGCUAGCGAAAAUGAGCAAAAAAUAAACUUCUUUGGGAAAAGGCCAUCUGAGGAGACAGAAUAGCCUACAAUUAAAGAAAGCUUCUUUAAACAGGUUGUAUUAGGAGUGAUGCAUGAAAUACAGGUUUAUCGCGUCAGGUAAUUCCUUUCUGCCAAGCCUGCUCUGUGUUGUAUGUAUGGAUGAUUUCAUGUGGAUCGUAUUUUUAUUUUGUCCUGUUUAUCCGUCACACCUAGUGACUAGUUUGCAAAAUAUUGUCUAACAUGAAACCGGUCCGUGAGGCAAAAAAGGUUGGGGACUGGUGCUGUAAACAAUAACUUUUAAUCAAUAAGCAUACCUCGAAGGCAUUGUAACAAUGAAAGGAAGCCACUGCUGUUAUAUUACAUUCAGCUGCAUUUCAGUUUGAAUGAUAAUUGAGUUGUGUUAUUGGGAUUUUGACCAUCUGAAGGUCGAUUGAGAGAACAUUAAUGACAGGAAAAUUGAAAUUACAUCUUUGUUCUGGAAGUCAGGUUUAGUUGAUAACUAGGACUCUUGCUGCUUAAAGUGCCGACCUGUGGGAAAUGCUUAUGGUGACUUAUGUAGAUAUUAGUUGGUUUUAUCAAGUGUCCUUUUUGCCAUACAGAGGAAAUUAAACCUUUCCUGUAAGAUGAUUUAACCUCCCUUAUUGCUUGAGUUUGAUUAAUCAAUCUUGCGUUUUGUGGAGUAAGAUUCUUCUUUUUUUAUCUAUAUAUGAUGGUAGAUUUAGCAAAGUGAUGGUUGGUGAAAGGGUACCGACACUCUUCUAUACAAAUCACGUCCUGGAUCGGCCAAAAGAUGGAGAUGAAAGCAGACCCCCAGUGAGAUGGGUUGCUAACGUCGAGUUUUGCUCGGGACACAAGCAGAGGUCUCCUCAGCUGUGGUCUUGUGUGUUUGUUCUUUUCCACCAUGCCUACCACCUACCCUACAUGGACGAUUUUGCACUUAGUCGUCCCUCAGCCCAGUGUGGAUGUAACUAUUCACUAACAGGUUGCCUUGAAUAGACUAGUGACCGUUGUUGCAAGGUCAUUCCUUGAGUGAGAAAAAUGGAGAAAAGGGAACAAAGCUGGGCUGGUAAGGAAAGGGGCAGCAUCAUUUAUCUCACCCAAUACUCUCCGUUUUAAUUAGAGUGUCUUCAGCCAAGCGGUGUCAGUGAGUGCAUGAAAGCAGUCAGCACCCCGCGUGGCCAGAGUCAAAUGCCUUUGAUCAGCUCAUGGAGACUGAUGCGCAGUGACUGAGAGGUUUGUGUGAAGUCCCACCGGCCUCCGCAUGCCAGCCGGGACAGCCGUCGCUGCGGAGGCAACCUGCGCCCCUGCUUGAAGCACUCAUGCGGAGUGUACUGUCCUAAUGCGCUUCUGCCUUCUCUAUGUUUAUCUGUCCGUUAUUGGAGAGGCUGCGAUUAGUGUGACUCCACACGGAGCCCUAAUCAGCCACACUGAGAACGCUGUGAUCAAUAUAGGUGUGAACCCGCUGCUGUACGGGGCUGAGGAAUGACAAAGGAAGUGAUAUGAGGGGAAAAAACAGCCGUCUUCAGCAACAUUUUUAAAACCCUUUUAGCUGGUAAUUUGCAGUUCCUUCAGUUUUUGUGAAAGUUAUAACAGUAAGUAGAACAGCGCACCCGUCUUAUAGUGAGUAAAAUCAUCAUGAUAAGAGGGUGAGUAAUAAACUAACCGUUUCUUUUUUUGUCGUAAUGUCAAUGUGCAUGCAGCGAGUAGUCAGCCAGACGAGUUAGCAUGAGGCCAAGUGUAAUAAAAGUGAAAUAAGAAAGUUAUUUGUGGUUGUGUAUAACAGACAAAUGAACACCCUAAAGUCAUCCUUUACAUUAUAGUAAUAGCAUUUUUACAGGAAUAAUUCCAUCCCAAGCAUUCUGAUUGAUAUAAAAUCAGGGCAAUCAAAACUGGCAAUCUGAGGAAAUGCGUUGGCAGUGAGAUCCAGCAGCAACCUUCCACCUGAGAUUUUUAAUGUAGUACCUUUUUGUUCUGUAGUUUUACUUGAUCUAUCAAUGCAGCUAAAAAUACACAUUUCAGAUGUUAUUUUCCACUAAAUAAAAGCCAGGAAGUUCACAUAGAUUUAUGAAUUAUAUAAUUACACUUCAAUGAGAUAUGUGUGAAUAUGAAUAGUUUAACAUGUUCCUGUGUAAUCACUCAUUUUGGCCCACACCCCCCACCAGAGUAAAGCAAACCCAACCAACAGGGUUUGUAUUCCCUAUAACACUCUAUUAUUGUCUUUGUCUUAGACCUUGUUGUUUUCUCACAUUCCCCAUCCUUCUAAUCUGCUCUGCGGCAUGCUGUGUAUGUGGGGAGAGGACGUGUUCAGUGAGGUGCUGCCUCCACCUGCCUACUAGUUACCUCAAUAUGAAAUUGUGUGAAUUUACAUGCAUAAUAUCGAUUGCAUUUAAAUACAGUUUAGAGAUUGUUUUGGUAUUUUAUAUGACAUUUCUGAGGAUUUGCAUUCUUUUAAUUUACUUUCAAACAAUCAGUGAGUUACUGGUCCAGACAGGAGAGACCCUCCCUUUGGUUCAAAAUGUCACAACUUGUCAGUAAGCAUCAAACUAUCUCUCUCCAGAAUAAUGUUAAUCUAGUAAGAUAUGGUCCUGUUUGAGUCAAAUAGACAUAAAGCAGAGAAUACUUAUGCGUGGGCAAAUUGUGAUUGAAAGGUUGCUACCAGCAGGUUCACUCUGUCACUCCUUCAUGGUCCAAAACAUGGUCACUACCGCUACCUCAGAUGCAAAUGUUAAAGGCGAAAUCGCCAAAGUUAAGUUAAGUUAAGUCAAAUUAAGUUAAUAAGUGGGGUUAAUUAAUUAAAUGUUGACUUGGGACAUGAACAGCGGUGUUCUGGGCAUGUCGCUAUCAGUGCUCUAGGAAGCCUUUUUGUCCCAACGGGAAAGCAAUCAGGUAAAUGCUGGAGGGUGUGGUAUAAAUGUUGAGAACGAUCUGGAAGCGCGUCUGUAUGAAGCUGUGGCCUAAAUACUGAAGAGUGGGUGCAGUAGGGUGGGCAGUUCAGUGAUUGAGCUGACGAGGUAGGUCUCUGAUCUCCUGUGGUGGCCAAAAAAACAGCAUCUCGCACCAUCUGCUGAAAGAAGAAGAUUUUAGGAAAUGAACAAAAGGAGUUAGCUCCAGGAUCCAAUUCCUUGUGUCAGUCUGAACAGAUCGAAGACAGCUUAAUGCUACCUUCAGGGCAUUUAGGUCACAGACAGAUGAGGUCCAGCUCUUAUUUUUUGCACAGUACAACAUACAUAUCCAUCCAUUUCAGAGAGGGAAGCACACUGCAUGCAUGCAGCCAUAAAUCCACACGAAUGGGGAGAGAUUCUCUCUAAAGUGCAUUUGUCUCCUGCCAACCCCUUCCUUGUCUACUGUCUGUACCAUUUUGAAAUCUAUGAACCCAUUCAUAACUCGAUACAUGAUUAAGUGAUUAUACAAAGUCAGUGCGUGGGAUUUACAUUAUAACCACUAUUUAAUCAUUGGCAAAAUGUAAGGGGACAGUUUCUCAAGUCGUGCAAAUGCACAUCACAGCAGAAUAAUUGCCACUGUUUCGCAAACCUUGUCUAAAGCUGCAUAAACCAUAGUUGCUUUGCAGGGUGCCUUCAUUGCCCAGACAGGGCAACGGACGGCCAUCUUCUUUUAUCGUCUUCAUUCGUCCAACAAGUCAUUAUGACUAAUUAAUCUUCCAGAGCGCCCAGGCUUUGCUGGCGUGUGUAAAUGAUGAAUAUUUGUUGAUUGCAAGAAAGCUAAACAUGCCCUCCUACCCUCCCUUCCAAAAAACCACACCAAUCCACGCAGGCCGUGUGAUUCAGUGAACAAAUAAAGAGCUCUGCCAGCCUGAGCAGUCCCUUCAAAUUACCAUGAGAGAGUGAGAAGGAGAGACUGAGAGGGAAAGUGAGAGGAGAAGGCUGCUCCUAUUACUCUGCUUUGUCGGAGUUAUUUCACCCAUAUACUUGCAUAAAUUGUGCGAGCUGGAGCAACCAAAAAACAAGCGCUCUUGUGUGAAAGACAAAUCUGUGCUGGCAGCCAACGAGUUUAUUUGGGUAGCUGGGUUAUUGCAACGGGCCCACUUUGCAUCAGUGGCAGAAUGGAGAGUAGCCAGGGAUGUUGGGUGAGUUCACAGUAUCUCAAUAUCACAACUUCUCUUUAGUGUUUUCACAAAAGUGACACGAGUCAAAAAUAACUGGAGCGGUGGUGUUGUUAUUGGCCUGUAGAAGUUAUACAUUAUGUUUCUCUGAUUCUCUUGCUGAAGGAAACGUUGUAAAUGCAACAUACAUACUAACACGGCUAGGAGACUCUACCAAGCUACUGGCCUGAGUCUGGAGAGUUGGUUGUUACAUUAGUAAAGCUAACAUCCAGAAGAAAAAUGGAAUUGGAGGGAGGGAGUCAGAGUCUGUAGAGUCUCACUGCGGUAACAGCCCACGAUGAGUGUUUCCCAGUGUUUAUUCAACGUUCAUUAAUAUUGAACAUCUGUUUCAGCAUUCCAUGUCUUUGGGUCACACGCAAUAAACCCACCAAGGGUGGAGAUUGGAUGGAUUGUUUUCAAAAUACAUGAAGGACACAGACACAACCAACCCUUGCUGCUAAAACAACAGAAUACCAAUAGUCUGCAUAAGGCCAUGUAACAGAAGGAUCAUAUUCUCUCAGAUGCAAAUGGCCCGAAAUACACUCCUAUUGAUUUAUCUACUGCUACAAUAGCCUCAACUUUUCUGAGAAGGCUCUCCACAUUGUAACCUGAAUUUGCUACCUUUCAGGAGUGAUAAGGCUCGGCACCGUCCGCAUUACAGUUCACCUAGAAGGUACACAUCAAUAGUACUCAAAGUAUAUAGACGGGACAUUGUUUCGGCAAAAAAAAGCCAUUUUAAGGUAUUUGUCUUAGUAAACACCUUCGGCUAAGCUAAGUUUGGAGGUACAGUUCUGUGUCUCACUUGACUCUUCUUUGAUAUUACAGAUAUCUGACGGGGGCUUUGAACCCAUGACCUUACAGCAACUCAACAGUUUCUCCAGCCACUGACCUUGAAACGCCCGCAAAUGUAAAAAAACUAAUCUCUUCUUUAUUAACUGAUACCUCUGAUCCUUCAGGUCACAUUCCCUAUAAUGUUUACAGACAUCAUAGCUCAGUUCUGAGGUGAAGGCUUGAGGUCAGGGGCCAGCUUCACAAACCCAUGCUGUGUAUUGCCUGCAGCUUUUUUGUGCGUCAGACAUGAAAGAUAUCAAAGUCUGGAUUCUACCUCCACGUGGCUUGGUCUCCUUGGAUGUUUUGUCAUGUCUCGUAGCCAGCCUCAGAUUUCACUAGAACCUUAUCUUUGACAACAGACAGGCCAUUUCUGCCGUCCCUGCCACGUCUGUCGUUACUGGAAAACAUUGCCGAUACUAUUGUUCCGCCCUCUUACUAAUGGAAAACAUACCCUCACAUCAAAGACACAGACACACAAACAAUUUGUACACGCACAAACCUGAAGGUACACAAACACACAGCCUUAUCCUUCAUAACCUUGGGGUUUCUGUGUCUAUUUGCUCUCUGAUUCCUCUCAACGCUUCCACUUAACGCUUAGAUAUCUGGUUUCCUUGGUGACAGCUCUAAUCAGAGCUGGAGGGACAGAAGGGGGUAUUGGUUGUCUUUUAGACCCAGUGAGAUUUCUUUUUUUAUCCUCUGCGGUGUCACACAACAAUAGAUAUCUUGAGACCAUGCACACCAAGACCCGCUCAUGUCCGAAAAGCCCCAUGUGGCUCGAACCAAAAUUUAUGAAUGAGUCACUACUAUUCACAUCCUGCUGAGCCUGGUUGAUUUAUGGCAGAAACAUUUAAACUUCCUAUUUAAGUUUCUUCUGACUUGUCUCAAUGUUGAGGACUUUUUGGCGUCCACAAAUUAAAGCAUCCACAAAUGGCCACUUCCCUCGUUUUUAACCUCUCAAUCAAUAGCACAGCUUACUUUUUCACUGGGUACAGUAGUGCUGGAACAUGUGGCUUCUAACCCUGGGCAUAUGUAAGUGUUUGUGUUCGAGUAUUUUUCCCUCGACAUCCAGAUGGGGUGUAUAUCAGAGGAAGUCAUGUAGAACCAAGAAAAUACGGAGAGAGAACACAUUCCUGGUGUGCAAUGGGGUGAACUCCACCCUUGAAAACCUUCAUGCAAUUUUCAGGCCCUUGUGUUUUGAUUAAAACUUGUUUACUUUAUGAACGGCCAUAUUGAGUGAUUCCUACAUGCCAACUGCCAGCGUACAAGCUUGCUUGUUGAAUCAGUUUAAUUGCUGCUUGAAGAAGCAAUUUAAACUCCGGAUUAUUUUUUUCGGUUCUUAACAAAUUAUAAACAUUUACUUCUAGUGCUUAUAUUAUGGCUUUUAUAUAAUCUAAUCUACAAAGAUCUGCCGGCUCUAACAGUUUAUUUUUCCUAGUUGAUUAGGAUGAGCGGUUGAUGGGGGGCAAUGAAGAUAAACACUGGUGGUAAAUUGUCGUACACACCUGGACACUAAACACCAAGUACUGUGAAUUGAUGGACUUGUGUAUUGCGCACAAACUUCACUUACUAUGUUCUAAGACUUUUAGAAUGAUAUCAUGAAUCCCCACCGUAGCAACCUGCAAGCAUGAACAGGUUGAAAUUGUCCCUAAAAGCCUGUCAUGGUUUGGGUUCAUGUCCUGUUUUAUUUUGUAGUUUCUGGCCCCUUGCCUCCCUGGGUAAGGGUCACUUCCUGCCUUAUCCUGCCCCCCCCACCCCCUUGUGAUUGUCUGCCGUGUCAUGAUUGUGAAGGGUGCAAAGCAAACAAUCUGAUGUAACUUCUGUGCAGAACUACUAUGCCACACAAACUUCCAUCAACACUAUGAAAAGAAGGCUGUAGUGUCUUAUUAUAUCAGACACUAUUAUAAACCAACCAUUAGAACAUGUUCUAGGUGUGAGAUUUGAUGUCAGGCUUGACAAAACAACUGGGAUGUAUAGUCAGGUUCCUGAUACAGACAAGUUUGUCUAUGUCCCGGUCCUCAAAACUAUCCAGUUUAUGUUUAGUAAUAAAGAAAUACUGGAGGCCUUUUAGCAGACAAAUACACAUAAAGAUGGCUUAUUUUAAGGCAUUGGUGAUGGAACAUAUGUGAAAAGUAAUCAAUUAUUUGCUUUGGAGAAGAAUGCUUUACAGCUUCAGUUGUACUAUGGCGAUUUUGAGACGGCCAAUCCCUUAGGGCCCAAAAAAGGGUGCCACAAACUGGGUUGCAUUUACAUUAUUUUUAGAAACCUCCCUCCAACAUAGAAUUCUGUACUGAUGAACAUUCAGCUUCUCUUGCUUUUUCGCACCGUGUGUGAAGAUCACAGGAGACAAUCUUGCCCUUCAGUGCCAAAUACUGUUGUAGUUUUUGUUUAGCAGAAAAGGAUGCUCUCCAGGGGAUCUUUUCUGAAGAUUAACCUGGUGUUGUAUUGCGCUCUAGAGAUCUUUAUUCUCAACAGUACAGCAGUUUGAGAGAUAAUCCACAGUUAUAUGGGUUGAAGAGUGUUAGUUUAAUACACUGAUUUAUUACCAUAUUUCUGCUAACUUUGCUGUCAAUAUAAUCCAUGACAUCCUGGAAGGUGUUGGUCAAUUUGAACUCAAACUUGUUUACCAGCACUUGGUUAAUACCAACAAAAUUACAGUCACUAAUUUGUGUGAACGGAUUCAUCCCUUCAAUUAUGGAUACCUGGAAAGAAAAAAUCGUCCAUCUGCUUUAAAAAUGGAUGAUAGCAAUGAUCUUGGUUUAAAUGCAGGUCAGGCAUUGUGUGUUUACUGCGCAACACACCUCAAUGUAAUGAAUUGUCAAUGCAAUUUGCAAGGUGGUUGUGCUUACCUUCUACUUUCUGAAGUAGUCACUUCAGGCUUUCAUGACCAUUUUUAGUGCAUUUUGUAUAGAGGAAAGAUCUGGUGCAUUCACUGUUGUAAAUGUCGACAGCCUAUUCUAUUAUAAAGCUUUUGACAAGCAAUAUGUCUAAAAUUCUGCUGGAAACAUGUAUUUGGUCCUGCACUGUCCCCUUUUCCAAUGUGCUAUUUGGUAUGUAAACAAUAAAAUACCGCUACGAUUGUACAAGACUAUGGUGUCAACCCUUCUAUUACCUGGAAGCAAAAUGUAAGCACUCUAAAUGAAUUGUUCCUACAGACAUUUGUCAUGUUUUGUACACGGCUAUGGCGUCAACAAAUCCUUUCAUUAAAGGCCAUAUUCUAACAUGCCUAGCUUAGCAGUGUUUUUGCGUUAGCCAUUGGUUUGAACGAUGGAGUGUAGCGGUGCUCUUAGCUGUGAGGUAGCCGGUGCUCAAGCAUGGCAUGAGAGGAGUUGAAAGUGGAGGGAAGGGGCCGGCGGCUGUGGUGAUAAUUCAGAACGGAUGCCCGGUCCGCCGCGACAGGUCCUGGUUUUAGUCACCAGGGCAACUGAUGAGCCCCAGAUGGAGGGCCAGCUGCUUUGGUUUUUUGAACCCAGGGAGGUGGGCGUCACGGAGGGGAGAUGUUUGUGUUUUGAGGAGUUGGUAUGCGGGUCAACGGGGCACCACUGCAUGAAGGUGUAGACUCAACACUACGUCUUUGCUCACUUUCUUACAGCACCACUUGCUAUUCCAGUACAAUGAGUUACUAUAGAAGGGCUCUCAAGGUGCUCCGGAUCACCAGACCAUGAUAAGUAAAGUCAAAGAAUCCAUCUGCCAUCUCAGUCCAUUUCCUUGCUCUCGCCACCAGCGGAGUAAUUAAAAGGCCAUCUGAUAUCCUGCCUGGACCUGACUCUCCAACCCCAAACACACAGACAUACACACCAAACCGCGUCUCAUCCUGAUAACGUGGCCUCAUGUUGAGACACCCAUGUGAAUAAAUCUAUCAUAAUAACGGUCUUUGAAUGUCGUCUCUUUUUCCCAGAACACUGAUGAGGAUGACAUCAAAUACGGGGCUCUUAAUUCAUUCAAUCCCUAAUUCAUUAUGAUUGCCCUCGAUUUGCUGGGAGUUGUGGUCCUUUCCCUCAUUUUGACCGGGUAUCAUGGCAGUAUUUAUUCCAAACACUAAAACGGUUCAAAUUUGGUCCCAACUUUCUAGAUUGGAUACAAAUACUAUAUUCAUCACCGCAGGCGGCUGUUAAAGUUAAUGGAUAUAGAUCACAAAGCUUCCCAUUAGAACGCGGCUGCAGACAAGGUUGUUCUUUACCCCCCCUGAUGUUUGCAAUUACUAUUGAACCUCUGGCCCAGCUCAUUCGGGAUGAUAGCAAAAUAAAAAGGAACUGUUAUACAUAAAGAAGAGCAUAAAAUAUCUCUCUACGCUGAUGAUGUAUUAUUGUACCUGACGCAACCUGCUUCAACAAUACCACAAGAACUAAUCUCCCGUUCUUGACACUACUCAGGAUACAAGGUGAAUGUGGAAAAAACCGAGGCUAUGGAUAUCAACGGUAACAUCUCUAAAGGUUUAAAACUCCAAAGUGGAUUUAGGUGGCCAAAAGACGGUAUAAAAUACCUUGGCAUCUACAUCCCUCCGUCCCUACAGAAUUUGUACGAAGCCAAUUACAGUAAAAUAAUUUGGCGCAUUGAUAGUGACCUGAAACAAUGGUCUAUGCUCCCCCUGUCCCUGCUUGGCCGCGUUGAAAGCAUUCGCAUGAAUGUUCUACCUAGACUGCUCUACUUAUUUCAGAUGCUGCCUAUAGAAAUUCCCAAACAAGUUUUUGAUAAUCUGCAUAAAAGCACUUCCAAAUUUAUCUGGCACAAAAAGCGUCCUAGAAUUCGACUUAAUACCUUACAGCUGUCUAAGCUAAAUGGAGGCCUUGGACUCCCAAACUUAAAGUACUACUUUUGGGCUGCACAAAUGAAACCUCUAGUAGCCUAGAUUAAAAAUAACACAAACAGCCGCUGGCUCAACAUUGAGAAAGGGUGCUCAACAUUGAGAAAAGGCUCUGAGCAUGAGCUCAGUUUUACCUUUUUCAGAUGCGCCCAUAAACAACUGGCAUAGUGGACUAAGAACACGCUUAAAAUCUGGAGCAAAAUACAGUCAGCUUUUGGGCUCCCAAAGUCAAUCUCAUUAUUAACGAGCAUUGGAUCGAUAAAGACUUUUGCACCUAACAAAGUGGUUAGAUAUGGGACUGACUUACCUCCACCAGCUAUUUAUUGAAGACAUUUGAGCAGCUGAAGAAGGAUUACAAUCUCCCUAAAACAGAUUUCUUCCGAUACCUACAGCUGAGAACUUUUCUAACAACACACAAAGGGUGGAGAAAUUGUGUGAAUUGUACGCCUAUGGAAAGGUUCCUAAUAGAGAUACAGAUGGGAAACGGAGAUAAGAAAACAUAAAUAACAACAAAACCAAACAAGUAAGCUAUACAACCUCUUUCUAUCUAUGAAUCCACACAAUUCCCUACAAAUAAAGCUGAGAUGGGAGGCGGAGAUGAACAGGAUCAUACCACAUGGGAGGAAAUAUGGACAGAGGCACACUUGGUUUCAAACUCAAACACUUGGAGGGAAUUUAAAUGGAAAGUAAUUACCAGAUUCUUCAGAACUCCAGAAAUAUUAGCCAAAAUGGGCCCAACACACUCCAACUUGUGCUGGCGGAAGUGUGGAACGCAUGCUGCUGAUCAUACACAUAACUUGGGGCAUAGCCAGAAUAUAAGUGCUUACUGGAGGGAGGUCUUUGUUGCCCUCAAAGAGAUAUUCCAACAGGACAUCCAACAAGACCCCGCUGUAGCACUGUUGGGAGCAAUACCUGAAAGGCUGGAUGGGAGAGCCAAAAAAUACCUUCUAAACAUACUGCUCACAGCAGCACUAAAGGGUAUAACUCUCAGAUGGUUACAGCUGGACCCCCCCUGCAUACGAUAUAUGGAUCCAAAAGGUAUGCGACAUCUAUCAAAUGGAACAAUUAACAUAUUCAUUACGGCUCCAAAAGCUUAUCUUUGCAAAACGAUGGGGCCCUGUCACAGCAUCACUGAUACAAUGAGGGUUAUUACCGUAUGUCCCAGCUGAAUUGUGACCUGCUAACUUUCUCGAUGCACAUGUCAUACACUAGCCUCUCGUGUGCAUAUGCAGCACCCACAAUACUACAUUUAGGAGUGGACAGCUAUUGUUUAUUCAUCCCUGAUUUUAUUUCUUUGUUUUUGUUUUCCCCUUUCUGUUGGAGUGACCACUAUUUGAUGUUCUCUCUGUGCUUUGUACAUAACACCUAUAUAUCAUGUGUACCAAGACAACAUACAACUGUAAAAUGGUCAUAGAAUGUUACUGUCUGAAAAUGUACUUUGUCAUUUUGUUGAAAACCAAAUAAAAAGUGAGUUAAAAAAAAAAAAAAAAAAGAGCCGUUUGGAUGUGCCUGAGCAUACAAUGUCUGUCUAUGGGACAGUUCCCUCGGCAUGGUUGCUACGACGGCGGUGAGGUCCGGUGCCUGAGCCGAGCCAACAAGCUAUCAAACGGGCUAACGGCUAGCACGAUGUACCACUAGAUGGCAGAAAGUUGAAUCAUUUCAGAGUGAUAAACCACGCCCCCUCUCCGGGCGCGAAUACGUGAUGCACGCGAAUUGAACACAAAUGAUCCCCAAGAGUCCUGCGCCGCGUUUAGAGCGUUUGAAGCGACGCAAAACAUUUUUGUUGCGUUUGGUGUGAACGUACCAUAAUGGUGGUUUCAUCUGGCUUUACGCCUGGCUUACUACUCCAUUAUUUGAAUCAUUUUUGUCAUAUGAAUUGAUCUUAUUGUACAUAUUUUACGUUGUUCAUUCUGUACACAUGACAUCCAUUGCAGUUGUCCAUCCCGGGAGAGGGAUCCUCCUGAUGUUCUCGCUGUUUUCUCCUUUUUUCUCUCGUGAAGGUCUUUGCCUGUGCACGAGGGUGUUGCAUGUGUACAUGCUUUAAAGGCAAAUUUGUUAUUUUGGGCUGUAGAAAAUAACAUUCAUUGAAUUCAAGAGUUUUGUACAUUCAGUCAGCCCACCCAUUCAAGUUUUUCUUUUGGACCAUCAAAAUUCAAAUUCUACCAAUUUUAGAAUAUCAAUAACAACUGGCGGGCUUCCCAAUAAGGAAAGUUGGGAAGUCUUGAGGCCUGGCCAGUCAAAGCUAAGCCCCUAUGAAUAAAGAUGUCUCACCCAGCGAACCACUUUCUCUGGUGCUUGCCCUUGAGCAGUAAUUAACUCCUGGGUCCUCCUCGCUCCUUCAUCGCAAACAAAUUCAUGCCUACUCAGCGUGGAUCGGAGCGGGUAACCAGUGGCAGUCAUUGCCUGUUACCAGUGGUGUAGGCGAUGAAGGUUAACUCAUCCAGAGCUUAAACAAAAAUCAUGAUUCAAUUAGCUGCUUUAAUAUAGAAAUAAAUGAAUUCAUCGUUUGAUCCUGCUAAAUGCCAGUGAGCACAUGUAUCCUCAAAGUUAACCUUUACUUUUUUGUAAUUAAAUUCACAAGAAUGUGUCUGAAUUAUUAAUGGGUUGAACUAUAACUUUGAGGAAACCAAGUAUGUUCAGAACCGUUGUGGGAAAAUUAAAAAAAAUAAAUGUGUCCAGAAAAAAUGUGUUCACUAAAAAAAGUGUCGCGGAAAUUAUUUCUUUGCAUUGUUUCUUUCUCGAAAAUAAUAUCUCUUUUACAACAUAAUCUCUCAUAAUCAUUUAUGGUCGAUACAUUUUUAAGUAAUAUUGACACAAAAUAAUACAAAAUUAAAUUGCUCUACCAAACGGUACAGCAAUUUAAUUCAUUUUAUAUAGCCCAAAAUCGCAAAUUACAAAUUUGCCUCAGAGGGCUUUACAGUCUGUACACAUACAGCAGAGAGUUAAAGGUAGUGAAAUACCUGAGUUAUUACUUUAUCACUACUUUAAUUAUAUCAAGCUCAAAUCUGCUACUGAUCAACUAAAGACAGCAGAAAAAAUAUAUAUAGUUUAUGUUUUUUAUAUUUCUUAAUUUUUUGAGCAAAGAUACUGCUGGUAUAAGCUUAUCAAAAUUUAACACAUGAAAUAAUAGCUUUCAUAACAGUAAGCAAGAUGAGAACAUCUUCAGAUCCAUUGGCCCAUGAGCCUCAAAAUGUUGGACUGCAGGUCCCUAAAGUGACACCAACAUCAGUCUGUCCAUCUCUUAGACAACCUCCAGAUGAAUCCCCCUCAAAUUCAGCUGAAGAGACUACAGGGCACAUUUAGCUGUUUUAUAUUAUGUAAAUGUCGUCAUCUGGUUACCACUGAUGGCAACCAAAGGACAAGAAUUACUGCGUUGCCAAGGUUGGACCUAUCAACUUACUGGUCCCCUGGAAUCUAAACUAUAUUGAGCCUAUUAUUCACAUUACCAAUAGGCCCACAACAGCGUUAUUGACGAUGUUUCUAAUGGGUGAAGGCAUGACUAACAAUGGUGAAAUGCAGAAUUGUCUGUAGCUUUAAGCCCGCCAUUCACAUAUCACACAUACAAGGUAGAAUACAGAAGGGCCUCAUUUAGUCAAAUAUCAAAGGCUGUGCUCCCUAGUUGAACAGCAAUAUUGGCAGGUGUUUAUGUAUGUACGACAUUUAAAUUAAAUUAGAGAUUUACUGUAUGUUAAAACCUUAAUGUGGCUUUUAUAGAAUUUAGGAUGGUUUUUGUUAGAAAAAUUUCCGUCACUGGUAUAAAAUCCUCAAAACAGGAUAUUUAAUCUUUGCAAACAGGAGACGAGAGUUGACGCAUAUCUAAGUCAUGCGCCAAGGCUACUAAAAAAAGGUUUUCAUCUUCGGAGCGGGGUGAGCUCUGGGCAAAACGCAAGUGUUGGUAGUCGACCUUGGAUGUAGACGAUCAUCUUUGGCACCACAAGAUGAUAAACCUCGACGCACAAAACCUCUUGAUUAUAAGAUGACCCAGAACACCAUCUACCUCUAUGUGCGUACCAAGUUGGAACAUUAUUGCAGUUUUUCUAAAAAAAAAUUGAGAAAAAUGACAUUUUACAAGCAACAAGUGGUGUGAGACAGGGAAGAGUUAAAAGUCAGAAAUAUCGAUUCAGCUCCAUCAGUUGGAACAUGUUUAGAACAACAGCAGAGGAAAGUCCCUGACCAGCAUCUCGCUUGACAUUUAGCUAUCAAUUAACUCAACAUGUUAAAGGCACAUCAAUUUUUUAUUUUUUUUAUCAAGCGCUCUGACUCUGACAUAUUUCCGGUUGCCAGGAUAAGGUCAACUGUCAUGGAAGAAUGUUUGCCUGAUAAAAAUGUAUGCAUAACAAGCUGGAAAGCUGGUUGAAGGCGGGCUCUCUACUGCUUUUGUGCUGCACAACCUGACCUUUACCUCACACUAUUAAACAUGGUUCAACUCAUUUGUGUUUGUGGUAUUUUGCCAAACUGAUGUAAGGCCUCAUUGGGUAGGCCACAGACUCUUCCUUUACCAUUUUUAUAUCUGCAGCCCCACUCCACCAGCCCUCAUCUAUUUUCUUCGGAAUACAGUAGUUGGAAAGAGAUAGAACUGUUGUUCAGAGCCCAAGUGUGCUAGAUGCACAUUUUAACUAUUUCACCAAUUAGCAGCAUUCAGCAAUCCUAGCAGUGUAUGUGUUUGGUGUUUCUUUUCACAGGUGCGCUUCCAACCUCAGUUUUGUGAGUUGCACAAGUAACGUGUGUGUGUGUGUGUGUGUGUGUCUCUGCUUUGCACUGUGCUCAGCAGUUCAUUCUAACGCAACAGAGAUCAAAUGGAGUGAAAGGGAUUUCUAUGUUGGAGCAAAUUGGCCCACUCGACACCCAGCACAGCAGACCCGGACGGUGGCAUCAAAGAGAUGCUGCCCUUACCUUAUUGGUUGGUGUAUUAUUUUCCACAAAAUAUAAGAGGGAAGGAAUGCUUUUGUGCACCCAUUCCUAGCGCUACAGAACUCUUGUGUGCUGAUUUAAAGUUACGGUUGGAAUUUUGUAGUAGUAUUGGAGUAUUUCAAACAUUGUUAAUUAUAUUUGUCAUAAUUACUGCUUGCUUGUACAGCAAUCAAAUUGAUCAAAAGCUGACAAACUAAAGACUAAAAAACCUGACGGCCAUUUGAUGAAACAGUUUUACAUAAUCAUUACACCGUAAAAAUAGUAUUAUUCAUGAUAUUAUUCAUUCUCUUUGGAUGUUACAACCAUUUAACAUCCAUUAACUAUAAAAGCUAUUUAUGAAUAAUUUCAUAAGGAUUUUGCCACACUGGGAAUGCUAGUGUGUCGAUUAACCAUAAGUUGAAAAUUGACCAUGGUGUGAAAAUUAUAGAACUGUAAAAAAUAAUAUUCUCCAGGCCUAUUACUAUUCAGGGAAUGGAAGUUGGGAGCCGCAGUGACAUCCCAGCCAUGAUGUUGUGAUGGACUCUCCCCUUUUAAAAUGAAUCCAAAUUGAUUGGAAAUGCCUCCUCGGACCAUGCAAAUCACAGAUUUGAUCCUGAUAAUCCAGGAAAAGGUAUACCUGUGCAGUGAUGUCCUCAUUCAAUGACACAACAUUUUCCAACUAAGACAAAGAGACAAAUAUUCCAAAAACAUGUAGCAAAGAGAUGCAGCAAAAAAAGCUGGCGUUUUCUGUCGAUAUUUUUUUUUUGUAUUGAUGACAUAUUUUUACUGUUGGUUGGUCACAUUGAGUAAAGUGUAAAUGCACAGACUGGAGUCUACCAUGUAAACUAGCCGGCUUCAUUAAAAAUCAUCAUGAAAAUUGAGUAGACAAGAAGAUUGAUGUAAAGCUCGUUGGCAAAGGCACAAGACUAACAAGAUCUUUAUCUAGUUUUACACGUGGCUAGCUGUCUCACACAGCUUUAUUUUUUGUAGAAUACUAAAUUGUAUACAUUCAUGGAACAUCAUAUUGGGGGGACCUGAAUCCCCUACCUCGCCCUCGUCUGAGUGUGUCCCUCAUAACUAGUUUCUUGAAGUUUUGAACACAAUGCUCCCCAUGUCCUCCUCCCCUACAUGUAUGUCCUCUACAAGGUUAAGGUGACCCUUUGUUGGCCGCCAGCCUGUCUCUCAACCUUGAUGAACUCCUCUAACCACUAGCCCCCCUCUCUUCCUCUGACCUAUUGCACUCCUGCUCUCUGCGCCUCUGCGCAGUAACACUGCCAUUCAAACUGCUUAAUAAAACAACUCUAUCGAAUGGAGGAACACCGAACACACAGCUGUGCUCAAAGUACUUUGCCACAUCUAACUGCUGUGUUCUGUUGUACAUUUGAAUUUUUAUUAUGAAUAUAUAUAUAUAUAUAUAUAUAUAUAUAUACAUAUAAAUAAAUUAUUGUAAAUGAAUAUGUAUUUGAACACACAAAAUCACCUUUCCCCUCAAAAUGCCUAAUACGUAUUGAAUAAAGCCCUUGGAAUUGUUUUGCCAGCACAAAUAUUUUCAGCUGUCUGCAAGCGUUCAUAAUUAUCCAUGAAUUGAUUUCCCGCUAGUCUUUACAUUAUUAAUGCUAUCACCUGGGACUCCAAAUGCAAUGAAACAAUACAGUAUGCGUGAGAUGUUUUGGAGCGACUACUGCAUUUAUUGUGGGAUUCUAAGUGAACACAACAGAGAAAACACACACAGACACUGUAAAUGCUAUCCGAUCAUUUUAUGGCAUGCCAUUACUAUUACUGAGAUCUUGCAUUCUAUUUGAAUAUGUAUUAGGUGCGAUAAAAUGCAGAAAUCCUUUGGAGGCGAAGAAAUCCUGACGCAGCAUGAUUGCCUAAUGGCAAACUUUUGGUGGUUGAGAGAAAAAUAAAAUUACCUCACUGACAUCUUGAGAGAUUACUCAUGCCAUCUACCACACAAGCAUUCAGAAUGAUGUCUUUCAACCACCUUCUGUGUCAGUGACAGGACACACAGAAGUACACAGGAUAUAUUAUUGAAAUAAAUCAAAAUGUGACCCUCUGAGCUCCAGUCUUUGCCAAAUAAAUGCAUUCAUUGACAUUUGUAAGAAUAUUAUUCAACACAUUCAAUGGCUUAUGAAUUAUGUAGGCAUUUACCAAAUACAUACACAGACAUGUUAGUUAUAAUCAUUGGCUGUAGAAGACAAACUGAAUGUUACAUUGAUGUAAUUGUUUUACAGCAGUGCAGUGCAGCAGAACAGAACAUAGAAAAUGCACGCAGAGCUGGUGAGAUUAGACAGAAGCGCUGUAGCUUAAUUAAAAAUAAUGAGCUACGUGAGUUAUACCUCUUGCUCAGGGACUGUCAACUGUGAGCCACAUAACUAAUAAAAAUUCUCAUCCAAAUGCACAAUAACAUCCCCAUACAUAUAUACACACACACACACACACACACACACAAUGUAGUAAUGUCCUCUUGACCAGCUCCAGCAUUGUCAUCGUCAAAAAUCUGUGAAAUAUAAAAGACAAAAUAAAACAGCUAUCAGCAAAAUUAAAUUACGACAUAUAAGUAUGGGCAACAAAACAAAGUUAACUGCUAAACUGUUAGUAUGUGGCUCAUUCAGUUUCUUCCCUUCCGCAUUGCAGAUUGUAUUGGCUUCAGUGUGAACGUCCAAAAUUCUUAUCCAAUCGGGGAGGGUGAACAAGACAAAGAUGCAGAAACAUCACUAGAUACAGAGAAGAAAUUAUUAGACAGGGAGCAAGAAAAAAAGAACACGAGGUUUACCUCAAAUAUGUUUGCUUUUUUCAAUAUUUUUGCUGGAGUUGUCUGCAGCUGAUUUUCUCUUCAGGCGGUUGACAUUUAUCACUGAUAGUUAGAGGUGUCUGACCGUGGCUUUGUAAUUCCCAGACUUGUCCUGCAGGCUGUUGUGCCAACCAUAACCCACCACUGGAGGUAAGUGGGUGCCUCAAACACAGGUGCUUUGUAACCAGGGCCUCAGCGUCCUAUUCCAUUUGAGUUUGUGAGGGAUGGGCAGUGUUGACAAAGAUGCUCUUCUAAUUUUCCAAAAUCUUGGAUUUUAGUGCAGGAUCAGUGCAGGAUUUUGAAAGCUUAAUGUUGAAAGCAGCAUUUGAAUAAGCUCACUGCCAAAGGGAAAGGUCGGUAUAUCCAACUGAACUGGCCAAAACAGAAUUAUAGAAUUGCUGGAUGAAAUGAAUUAGAACUGUGAACAAAAACGGAAUAAACCUAACAGUUUUAAACGUUUUUUCUAGCUCCUUCAUUACAUUUGUUGCGUAAUUGUUAAGAAGGUAGUGAUGGGCAGGAAAUAUUUUAAAAAAGGCAUGGGGUGCAGUUUGUGGAAGUAUGGAGAUUCCGGUCUCUUGUCUGUUUGGCCAAUCAGUAAUGGUCUGGCAGUAAUCAGUGAUGAUUCUGUAGUUAAGACAUUGAUUUUAAUUAAAGAAUAAUAAAUACAUACUAAUACAAAGAAAUUAAGUAAAAAUCAGUUAUUUAAGUUCACCUUGUAUACAGAGCAGAAGGUAUUCUUGGAUAAGUCUUUGUUUUUGCACUUUCAUUAACAGAAGUGGUAUUUCAGUGUGAAUAAAGGUUGUAAUAGAAGGACUGGUUGCUUCCAUCUGGGAGGAGGCUGAGGUCCAUCAGGACUACGACCUCCCGCCACACGAACAGUUUCUUCCCGUCGGCAGUCGGGCUCAUCAACAGAGCCCGGUCCCCCACUGCCUGACUAUAACACUCCACCGGUCACUCCCCCUCAUACUGCACAUGCCACUUUAACUGCAAUUUGUCACUUGUCACUUUGUCUCUUGUCUGUUACUUGUUUGUUAGUGCACUUUAUGCUUAAUAUUUUUCUUUUUAACUUUUUAAUAUUUAAAUUUUUUUAACUUUAUUCCCUUGUUUUAUACUAACCCAUAGCCUUAGCCUUAUUCUACUAACCCAUUGCAUUAGCAUUUCAUUCCACUUUAUUUUAUUACUUGUGCACUGUUGUCUUGUCUUGUCUGUCUACUGUCGCGCACUAACCGCCAAGACAAAUUCCUUGUAUGUUUGACAUAUUUUGGCUAAUAAAUGUUUCCUGAUUCCUGAUUCCUGAUCCUGAUUAUUUCAACUGCCAUAACUUGCAAGGAUACUGCAACCAGCAGGUGAAUCAGCAACCUGGGCUUACUUUAUGCCACAUCAACUUUUUGUCAUGACUCAAUUGGUAUUUCCAUAUCUGUAAGCACAUUAAAAGAAACCUUUGCCAUUUAUAGUGUGGGAUUAAAUUACAUUGGAGACUUUUACACUCUUGGGAGGUUGGGAAGAGAUUAGAAUCAAAAGCCUGCCCCCCUUUUCAGUGGCCAAUCAGAGAUGUACCAAAACUCCACUAAACUAGCUUAUUUUAUUCCAUUGAUUUAUUGGGUGGGCAUCCAUGCUGUCCCUGUGUCUCCCGCUGUGUUGCAUGUCAAUCUGUUCUCCCUGGAUGUUUACACAUUGACUUGUGUGAGCAAUGGCUCAGAAUCAAAGCACCGUGAGGAGGAAUAUGACUUUGUAAUGAGCAUAUUAAAGAAGCAGUCUCUUGUGGUUAUUGUAUCCUGUUGUAAUUACCAUGGAGGCUUGAAGCUGAGCUUGCACCAGCCAUGGCUACAUAAAAGUGUGAGGGUCUUUGAGUUCUCCGCGGC